rnacentral:rRNA from 1 species
UACGUAGGUGGCAAGCGUUGUCCGGAUUUAUUGGGCGUACAGGGCGCGCAGGCGGUUCGUUAGGUUCGAGGUGAAAUCUCUUGGCUCAACUGGGAGAGGUCUUCGGAUACCGGCGGACUUGAGGAGAGCAGAGGUGAGUGGAAUUCUGGGUGUAGUGGUGAAAUGCGUAGAUAUCCAGAGGAACACCAGUGGCGAAGGCGACUCACUGGGCUCCACCUGACGCUGAGGCGCGAAAGCGUGGGGAGCGAACCGG